rnacentral:rRNA from 1 species
GCGACGGGUGAGUACACGUGGGCAAUCUGCCCUGCACUCUGGGACAAGCCCUGGAAACGGGGUCUAAUACCGGAUGACACUACGGGCCUCAUGGCCUGUGGUUGAAAGCUCCGGCGGUGCAGGAUGAGCCCGCGGCCUAUCAGCUUGUUGGUGAGGUAAUGGCUCACCAAGGCGACGACGGGUAGCCGGCCUGAGAGGGCGACCGGCCACACUGGGACUGAGACACGGCCCAGACUCCUACGGGAGGCAGCAGUGGGGAAUAUUGCACAAUGGGCGAAAGCCUGAUGCAGCGACGCCGCGUGAGGGAUGACGGCCUUCGGGUUGUAAACCUCUUUCAGCAGGGAAGAAGCGCAAGUGACGGUACCUGCAGAAGAAGCGCCGGCUAACUACGUGCCAGCAGCCGGAGGUAAUACG